rnacentral:lncRNA from 1 species
GAGAAGACCGGCUAAAUGCACACUGCCCACAAAAUGACCAUAUUAGAGACACAUAUUACCUUCAGAUUACACAAACCCCCAAAGAAUUCAAAAACAAACCCGAUAUACAUCGUUAAAACACUGUAUAUAGAGUUGAAGUCGGAAGUUUACAUACACUUAGGUUGGAGACAUUAAAACUAGUUUUUCAACCACUCCACAAAUUUCUUGUUAACAAACUAUAGUUUUGGCAAGUCUAUAGGAUUGAGGUGAGGGCUUUGUGAUGGCCAUUCCAAUACCUUGACUUUGUUUUCCUUAAGACAUUUUGCCACAACUUUGGAAGUAUGCUUAGGGUCAUUGUCCAUUUGGAAGACCCAUUUGCGACCAAGCUUUAACUUCCUGACUGAUGUCUUGAGAUGUUGCUUCAAUAUAUCCACAUAAUUUCUCUCCUCAUGAUGCCAUCUAUUUUGUGAAGUGCACCAGUCCCUCCUGCAGCAAAGCACCCGCACAAAAUGAUGCUGCCACCCCCGUGCUUCACGGUUGGGAUGGUGUUCUUCGGCUUGCAAGCCUCCCCCAUUUUUCCUCCAAACAUAAUGAUGGUCAUUAUGGCCAAACAGUCCUAUUUUUGUUUCAUCAGACCAGAGGACAUUUCUCCAAAAAGUACAAUCUUUGUCCCAAUGUGCAGUUGCAAACCGUAGUCUGGCUUUUUUUAUGGCGGUUUUGGAGCAGUGGCUUCUUCCUUGCUGAGCGGCCUUCCAGGUUAUGUCGAUAUAGGACUCGUUUUACUGUGGAUAUAGAUACUUUGUACCCGUUUCCUCCAGCAUCGUCCUUUGCUGUUGUUCUGGGAUUGAUUUGCACUUUUCGCACCAAAGUACGUUCAUCUCUCGGAGACAGAACGCAUCUCCUUCCUGAGCGGUAUGACGGCUGCAUGGUCCCAUGGUGUUUAUACUUGCAUACUAUUGUUUGUACAGAUGAACGUGGUACCUUCAGGCAUUUGGAAAUUGCUCCCAAGGAUGAACCAGACUUGUGGAGGUCUACAAUUUGUUUUCUGAUCACGGCCGGAUGUGACGCAGCCUGGAUUCGAACCAGGGACUGCAGAGAGAGAGAGGAACAGAGAGAGCGAGAGAGAGGAACAGAAGAGAAAGAGAGAGAGAGGAACAAAAGAGAGCGAGAGAGAGGAACAGAGAGAGCGAGACAGAGGAACAGAAGAGAAAGAGAGAGAGA